rnacentral:rRNA from 1 species
UACGUAGGGUGCGAGCGUUGUCCGGAAUUAUUGGGCGUAAAGGGCUCGUAGGCGGUUUGUCGCGUCGGGAGUGAAAUCCACUGGCUUAACUGGUGGCUUGCUUUCGAUACGGGCAGACUGGAGGUAUGCAGGGGAGAACGGAAUUCCUGGUGUAGCGGUGAAAUGCGCAGAUAUCAGGAGGAACACCUAUGGCGAAGGCAGCUCGCUGGGACGUUACUGACGCUGAGACGCGAAAGCGUGGGGAGCGAACAGG